GACUUCUUAUUCAUGGCCCUCUCAAAAAACAAAAUGCAUGCUCAGAAUGCAUGAACAGGGCUCAGGUGUUUAGGAUGUUUAACUGAUAAAGUGUAAGUUGUGCAUGAGGACCCGAGUCUGACAGCAGAGAGGAUGUCACUCCAGUAAGUUUUAACUACACCCCUGCUGAAGCAAUCCGGCCUUUAAAGCUCUUACUUGAGAUUAGUUUGAAUAUUACAAAAUGGUCUUUGCUAACCCUUUUCUCUCCCUGCAUGGUUCUGAAGCUAAAAGGUUUGUUUCUAUUCAAGCCAGUGAACACAUCAGAGUAGACUCGGCCUCAGGACCCCAGCCUUGAACCUGUGUUAUCCCCCUUCCCAUCAUCUACCCCAAAGGAUCAGUGCCAAGGGACCAACGGAUUGACUGGUUAAAGAGAUUCUGGCACCGUAGAGCUGGCGACCCAUCCCAGAAGGCCCGGAACAUCCUUCCUCUACACCCGGAUUCCUCCUUCCUCCUUUGGAAGUAGCAGUUUAGAAAAGGUGAUGAUGCUCUUGCAGGCAUGUCCAACCUGCAGCCUGUGACCCUCACAUCCCGGUACCCUGUGCAAAAUGGCCAACUUACUUAAAACACUGUGAAAUUGUUGUGCAUGUUUCCAGUAACUUGAUUGUACCAUUCUUGAGCUUGAAGUUUGCAGGUGAGGGCAUCAAAUUGCAAUGUCAAAAAGUUGUGCACAGCUAUUUAUUCUUCUGUAAUUAACAUCGGGUACCAUGUAGCAAAUUCUUUUAAAAAAUCACAUUCAGUAAGAAAUAAAGGUUUGUUUUUUCUUGUCA